rnacentral:rRNA from 1 species
CCCACGGGGUGCAGCAGUGAGGAAUAUUGGUCAAUGGCCGCAGGGCUGAACCAGCCAAGUCGCGUGAGGGAUGACGGUCCUAUGGAUUGUAAACCUCUUUUGUCAGGGAGCAAAGGGCGCCACGUGUGGCGCUUUGCGAGUACCUGAAGAAAAAGCAUCGGCUAACUCCGUGCCAGCAGCCGCGGUAAUACGGAGGAUGCGAGCGUUAUCCGGAUUUAUUGGGUUUAAAGGGUGCGCAGGCGGAAUGUCAAGUCAGCGGUAAAAUUUCGGGGCUCAACCCCGUCGUGCCGUUGAAACUGGCGUUAGUGAGUGGGCGAGAAGUAUGCGGAAUGGGUGGUGUAGCGGUGAGAUGCAUAGAUAUCACGCAG